AAACGUGUUUAGUACACUUGAAAAUAUUUGCAUUGCAAAAGGAGAGUGACUCUCCUGAGGAAAAUCAAAUUGAUAUUUUGUAUUAAGAGACCACUCCGGGCACCGUGUGGCCUUCCGCGGAGACUUCUGUUUACAGUACAGCCAGCGUUUGAAACUGACCUUCAGAAGAAAAGGUCCGGCUAUAGCUUUGGCAACUUUAUAAACCACGGACCAUCUUCUGGCAGCAGGGUUCUCCACAUUAGUCAGCAGGACAGAGAGAGCAGGAAGGAAUAUUAGUUGCUUGUCUGUUGACUGUUACUUCUCAAGCCUCGGUCUGGUGGACUGAUGACCAGACUCAGCGCAAAUGGUUUUUCAACUUUACACCUGAAAACAAUAAGUAAAGAAAACGUCCAUCAGACUAGGUGAAGAUCACAAAGCUGUUCUCUAUUAUUGUGCUGGAGCUGAAUCCAAGACUCCAGGACCACAAAUUUCUAGUUCGGCUGGUUUCAGAAGAUGAAGUGAAGGGAGAAAAUAAGUACAAACCUUUCUGUUCCAGUUGUACGGUGGAGAAAGUGCAGCUUCAUCAGCUUCAAAACUAUGCUGAAAGGGGAGCUUUCAAAACAAAACAGCAUAACUCGAUACAAGCAACGUACGAAUGAAAUUCUGUAUUCCAUUUGACUUUCUGAGUAUACACUCAUGUUGAUCUGUGUUUAUCUUUACACAUCAUGUUGCUACAUCUCCUGAAUGUGUGCUUUCUUUGUGAUAUUUCCAUACCAUCACCACAGUUAUUUAAAAAAGUCACAUGUUUCAAAAUAAUAAUAUUUUUAAAUUUUUUCCUUUAUAAUUAGCACAUGAAGAAAAUAUAAUACUUAUUUUGAAACCAAUAGGUGGUGCUAUGAAGUUUUAGAUUUUAAUUCAAAGAAAUAUAUUCAUUUAACUUCCCUAGUCCUCAGAGAAUUAGAAAUUUCCUAUUUAUCACAGAGUUUUCAUGGUAAAAUAAAAAAAAAAACCACAUUGAUUUUCACAUGCAGUUCUCUUUCUUUGCAAGAUCAACCAUAAUGCAGGGUGUGAAGGAAAUCUCUACACUUUUUGAAAGGAAGGCAUAUUUGCAGAAACUCACCCACAUAGUCUUCUCUAUUCUCUCUCCAUCUACUAACUGGAAAUACACAGAAAUACAGAAUUUGAAUAUUAUAGUUCACGGUCUGAACAGCCUUAGGAGCUACAUUUCUAUAAAAGGCAAUACCCUUAGUGCUGCUCCAUCACAAUCCAGCUAUCUGUCUUCAUAGAUUCCAAGAAUCAUGCAUGAGAAUCAGGGAGCUGUGAUGAGGCAAUUUAAAGUGAGAAUCAGAGCUUUGUUUGUUUUUAGGGAAGACAAUGUACUUCUGGUACAUAUAAGAAAAGUUUUGGAGCAGGUCCUGCACCUUGUGUGGGCGAUACAAUAGAGCCAGUCCUGUUGGCGGAGGUGUGGGUGAACCAGCCCUGAAGUUGUUGCACGGGAGAGCUGUCCCCAUUACUCAUCUGUCAUGUGGCAGCAUGGGAUGGGGAGAGAUGCCCUCUACCCCUCACCCAUCAACACUGAAGCAGGUGGAAGAGCCGGCCCUGAGGUCAUAAGAGCAGGAGAACUGUCUCUGCCCCUCAUCAGCUGCAGCACUUGGGAGAGGGUCCCCUAUGCCACACCUUGACAGCACAGUAGAGCUGACCCUGAAGGUGCAGGUGUGGGAGAUCGGGAUCCUGAGGACAUGAAAACAGGAGAACUGGCCCUGCCCCUUGCUCAUCACUGUAAGGGGUGAAUUAGCCAGGACAAUGCAGGAGAGCUCACCCCAGUGGUGAGGGCAAGGGAGAGCUGGCAGGCUGGCCAACCCUGCAACUACUCAGACUCAGGAACUGGGAUUAUGUAUUAGCUCACCCCAACAUCCACCUCAUCUGUGAUCUGCUGGAGCAUGUGAAGGGACUGGUCCUGCCCACCCAAAGCUGCAGGAUUUCCACAACACAGGGCAACAACAGGGUAUCCAAGAGGAGUUCCAGGGAGAGCCCAGCCCAGCAUUGAUAAUACAGCAGAAACCAGGGGCCUCGAACCACAUCAACGACUCUUUGCAGUGAACACUUGCAAGUAAAGAUAUACGGAUAAAAGGUUUUACUGUAUGACUCAC